GGAGAGGUGGCCGAGUGGUCGAAGGCGACAGACUGUAAAUCUGUUAGAAUUUUCUCCCGUUGGUUCGAACCCAACCCUCUUCA
rnacentral:tRNA from 1 species